rnacentral:rRNA from 1 species
UGGGGAAUCUUGGACAAUGGGCGCAAGCCUGAUCCAGCCAUGCCGCGUGGAUGACGAAGGCCUUAGGGUUGUAAAAUCCUUUCAGCGGGGACGAUAAUGACGGUACCCGCAGAAGAAGCCCCGGCUAACUUCGUGCCAGCAGCCGCGGUAAUACGAAGGGGGCUAGCGUUGUUCGGAUUUACUGGGCGUAAAGCGCGUGUAGGCGGGUCGUGAAGUUGGGGGUGAAAUCCCGAGGCUCAACCUCGGAACUGCCUUCAAAACUGGCGACCUGGAGCAAGAUAGAGGCAAGUGGAAUUGCGAGUGUAGAGGUGAAAUUCGUAGAUAUUCGUAGGAACACCAGUGGCGAAGGCGACUUGCUGGAUCUUUGCUGACGCUGAGACGCGAAAGCGUGGGGAGCAAACA